rnacentral:rRNA from 1 species
UGGGGAAUUUUGGACAAUGGGGGAAACCCUGAUCCAGCCAUUCCGCGUGUGCGAUGAAGGCCUUCGGGUUGUAAAGCACUUUUGGCAGGAAAGAAACGUCGCGGGUUAAUACCCCGCGGAACUGACGGUACCUGCAGAAUAAGCACCGGCUAACUACGUGCCAGCAGCCGCGGUAAUACGUAGGGUGCAAGCGUUAAUCGGAAUUACUGGGCGUAAAGCGUGCGCAGGCGGUUCGGAAAGAAAGAUGUGAAAUCCCAGAGCUUAACUUUGGAACUGCAUUUUUAACUACCGGGCUAGAGUGUGUCAGAGGGAGGUGGAAUUCCGCGUGUAGCAGUGAAAUGCGUAGAUAUGCGGAGGAACACCGAUGGCGAAGGCAGCCUCCUGGGAUAACACUGACGCUCAUGCACGAAAGCGUGGGGAGCAAACAGGAUUAGAUACCCUGGUAGUCCACGCCCUAAACGAUGUCAACUAGCUGUUGGGGUCUUCGGACCUUGGUAGGCGCAGCUAACGCGUGAAGUUGACCGCCUGGGGAGUACGGUC